rnacentral:rRNA from 1 species
AUAACCCCGGGAAACUGGGGAUAAUUCCGGAUAACGCAUAUAUGCUGGAAUGCUUUCUGCGUAAAAUGGAUUCGUCUGCCCAAGGAUGGGUCUGCGGCCUAUCAGGUAGUAGUGGGUGUAAUGUACCUACUAGCCGACGACGGGUACGGGUUGUGAGAGCAAGAGCCCGGAGAUGGAUUCUGAGACAUGAAUCCAGGCCCUACGGGGCGCAGCAGGCGCGAAAACUUUACAAUGCGGGAAACCGUGAUAAGGGGACACCGAGUGCCAGCAUCAUAUGCUGGCUGUCCGGGUGUGUAAAAUACACCCGUUAGCAAGGGCCGGGCAAGACCGGUGCCAGCCGCCGCGGUAACACCGGCGGCCCGAGUGGUGAUCGUGAUUAUUGGGUCUAAAGGGUCCGUAGCCGGUUUGGUCAGUCCUCCGGGAAAUCUGAUAGCUCAACUAUUAGGCUUUCGGGGGAUACUGCCAGGCUUGGAACCGGGAGAGGUAAGAGGUACUACAGGGGUAGGAGUGAAAUCUUGUAAUCCCUGUGGGACCACCUGUGGCGAAGGCGUCUUACCAGAACGGGUUCGACGGUGAGGGACGAAAGCUGGGGGCACGAACCGGAUUAGAUACCCGGGUAGUCCCAGCCGUAAACGAUGCUCGCUAGGUGUCAGGCAUGGCGCGACCGUGUCUGGUGCCGCAGGGAAGCCGUGAAGCGAGCCACCUGGGAAGGACGGCCGCAAGGCUGAAACUUAAA